GCCCUUGUAGCUCAGUAGGUAGAGCACAGCCUUGGUAAGGCUGAGGUCAGCGGUUCAAAUCCGCUCGGGGGCU
rnacentral:tRNA from 1 species